AAGGGCGACACUUCCACUCUCAGACUGCUGGUCAAUGAGCCAAGCCCUUGAACCUCUUCGGGGCUGCCAGAGUAUUUCAUGGAUAUCAAAAUCUCCUGCGUCAGGCUCACAGAGCAGAAGCCGUGACCGAAGGCUCACCCAUACCAGCUACACAGGCUGUGGGAACAUUGAAGAGAUGCUUGUUAUCAUCCAGCUAGGCUAAUCCAUUUUAUAAAGUCCCAAGGACUGGCGCCUGGUUGCUAAGUGAUUUAGACACAGCCUUUCCCUGCACUCUUAAAACAUUUCCCGAAACUCUUCAUUGGCCAUGGCAUGACUCUGCUAGCUGUGCCAUGCUCCCAGUACUUAGGAGCUGUGCUCCCAGUACUUUAAGAGUACUGUCUGUCUUGAGACCAGGUGGUCCCUUGUAGAACUGGGAUGGGAUCUGAUGCUGUGUUGGUCUCAUAACUGGACAUGUGGGAAUACUUUUUGACUCCCCUUAGAAAGAACUUAUCAAUAAGGCAAUAAACUUAUCAAUAAACUUGUUUGUUUACAUAA
rnacentral:lncRNA from 1 species